CUGAGACAAGCAACUAGAUCACCAAAGCCACGUCUCCCCCGCUCCCCAUCCCCUCCCCCUGGAGUUUCAUACCAGUGUGGACUUCCCAACUUCAGAGAUCUCUGGAGACUGAAGGGAAGUGACUCAUCCAUGGUCAUACACAACCAAUGAGCCCUGGAGACCUCUGACUAAAGGAAGUGAAGAUUGGCCAGGAACAGGCAAAGAUCAAGAUCUCCCCUUGCCUUGGUUCUGGAGUCCAUCACAGGCAAAGUCGUCAGGGACUCAGCAGUUUGAGUAAACCCAAAAAUAAACCCUGAAACUGGCUCUUUAAAUUAA